rnacentral:rRNA from 1 species
CCUACGGGAGGCUGCAGUGGGGAAUAUUGCACAAUGGGCGCAAGCCUGAUGCAGCCAUGCCGCGUGUGUGAAGAAGGCCUUCGGGUUGUAAAGCACUUUCAGCGGGGAGGAAGGCGGUGAGGUUAAUAACCUCAUCGAUUGACGUUACCCGCAGAAGAAGCACCGGCUAACUCCGUGCCAGCAGCCGCGGUAAUACGGAGGGUGCAAGCGUUAAUCGGAAUUACUGGGCGUAAAGCGCACGCAGGCGGUCUGUCAAGUCGGAUGUGAAAUCCCCGGGCUCAACCUGGGAACUGCAUUCGAAACUGGCAGGCUAGAGUCGUGUAGAGGGGGGUAGAAUUCCAGGUGUAGCGGGGAAAUGCGUAGAGAUCUGGAGGAAUACCGGUGGCGAAGGCGGCCCCCUGGACAAAGACUGACGCUCAGGUGCGAAAGCGUGGGGAGCAAACAGGAUUAGAUACCCGAGUAGUC